UACGGAGGGUGCAAGCGUUGUCCGGAAUCACUGGGCGUAAAGGGCGCGUAGGCGGCUCAUGAAGGCUGUGGUGAAAGUCCGGGGCUCAACCUCGGAUCGGCCGUGGCGACUCGUGGGCUGGAGCACUGUAGAGGCGGGUGGAAUUCCGGGUGUAGCGGUGGAAUGCGUAGAGAUGUGGAGGAAUACCGAUGGCGAAGGCAGCCCCCUGGGCCAAUACUGACGCUCAUGCACGAAAGCGUGGGGAGCAAACAGG
rnacentral:rRNA from 1 species